rnacentral:rRNA from 1 species
UACGUAGGGGGCGAGCGUUGUCCGGAUUUAUUGGGCGUAAAGAGCUCGUAGGCGGUUCGGUAAGUCGGAUGUGAAAUCUCCACGCUCAACGUGGAGGGGCCAUUCGAUACUGCCGUGACUCGAGUCCGGUAGGGGAGUGUGGAAUUCCCGGUGUAGCGGUGAAAUGCGCAGGGAUCGGGAGGAACACCCGUAGCGAAGGCGGCACUCUGGGCCGGUACUGACGCUGAGGAGCGAAAGCGUGGGGAGCGAACAGG